CCUACGGGGUGCUGCAGUGAGGAAUAUUGGUCAAUGGACGAGCGCCUGAACCAGCCAAGUAGCGUGAAGGAUGACUGCCCUAUGGGUUGUAAACUUCUUUUAUCUGGGAAUAAAAUGUUCCACGUGUGGGAUUUUGUAUGUACCAUAUGAAUAAGGAUCGGCUAACUCCGUGCCAGCAGCCGCGGUAAUACGGAGGAUCCGAGCUUUAUCCGGAUUUAUUGGGUUUAAAGGGAGCGUAGGUGGAUUGUUAAGUCAGGUGUGAAAGUUUGCGGCCCAACCGUAAAAUUGCAGUUGAAACUGGCAGUCUUGAGUACAGUAGAGGUGUGCGGAAUUCGUGGUGUAGCGGUGAAAUGCUUAGAUAUCACGAAGAACUCCGAUUGCGAAGGCAGCUCACUGGACUGCAACUGACACUGAGGCUCGAAAGUGUGGGUAUCAAACAGGAUUAGAUACCCCAGUAGUC
rnacentral:rRNA from 1 species